rnacentral:rRNA from 1 species
UACGUAGGGUGCAAGCGUUGUCCGGAAUCAUUGGGCGUAAAGAGCGUGUAGGCGGCCCGGUAAGUCCGCUGUGAAAGUCCAGGGCUCAACCCUGGGAUGCCGGUGGAUACUGUCGGGCUCGAGUCCGGAAGAGGAGUGUGGAAUUCCUGGUGUAGCGGUGAAAUGCGCAGAUAUCAGGAGGAACACCAAUGGCGAAGGCAGCACUCUGGGACGUGACUGACGCUGAGACGCGAAAGCAUGGGGAGCGAACAGG